rnacentral:ncRNA from 2 species
AUGUUAUCAAGAAAGGUGGAGGGAUUAGACCCAACGAAACCUUAGCAACCCUUUAGCAAUAAAGAAGGUGCUACAUUCUACUAAAAGCAACGUGUUUUUGGAUAGAUAACCC